rnacentral:rRNA from 1 species
UACGAAGGGGGCUAGAGUUUUUCGGAAUUACUGGGCGUAAAGGGCGCGUAGGCGGUCUUGUAAGUCAGAUGUGAAAGCCCCGGGCUCAACCCGGGAAUAGCAUUUGCUACUGCGAGGCUUGAGUCCGGGAGAGGAUGGCGGAAUUCCCAGUGUAGAGGUGAAAUUCGUAGAUAUUGGGAAGAACACCGGUGGCGAAGGCGGCCAUCUGGACCGGUACUGACGCUGAGGCGCGAAAGCGUGUGGAGCAAACAGG